rnacentral:snRNA from 1 species
AUUGCUUCUCAGCCUUUUGGCUAAGAUCAAGUGUAGUAUCUGUUCUUAUCAGUUUAAUAUCUGAUAUGUCUUCUAUUUGAGGACUCUAUAUUAAAUGGAUUUUUGGGACUUUAAAAAAAAAAGAAGAAAAAGAAAAAAAAGCAAUCCAGUAACGCCUGUGCCAGAGCAU